AGAGUUGAUCAUGGCUCAGGACGAACGCUGGCGGCGUGCUUAACACAUGCAAGUCGAACGGUGAAGGGGAGCUUGCUCCCCGGAUCAGUGGCGAACGGGUGAGUAACACGUGGGCAACCUGCCCCAGACUUCGGGAUAACGCUUCGAAAGAGGUGCUAAUACCGGAUACGAACUCCUUGGGCAUCCCGGGAGUUGGAAAGUUUUUUCGGUCUGGGAUGGGCCCGCGGCCUAUCAGCUUGUUGGUGAGGUAACGGCUCACCAAGGCGACGACGGGUAGCCGGCCUGAGAGGGCGACCGGCCACACUGGGACUGAGACACGGCCCAGACUCCUACGGGAGGCAGCAGUGGGGAAUAUUGCGCAAUGGGCGAAAGCCUGACGCAGCAACGCCGCGUGAGGGAUGACGGCCUUCGGGUUGUAAACCUCUUUCAGCAGGGAAGAAGCGAAAGUGACGGUACCUGCAGAAGAAGCACCGGCUAACUACGUG
rnacentral:rRNA from 1 species